ACUCCUACGGGAGGCAGCAGUGAGGAAUUUUCGUCAAUGGGGGCAACCCUGAACGAGCAACGCCGCGUGCAGGAAGAAGGUUUUCGGAUCGUAAACUGCUUUUCUCUGGGACGAGAACGGACGGUACCAGAGGAAUCAGCCCCGGCUAACUACGUGCCAGCAGCCGCGGUAAUACGUAGGGGGCAAGCGUUGUCCGGAUUUAUUGGGCGUAAAGCGCACGCAGGCGGUCUGCCAAGUUCGGAGUGACAGUUUCCGGCUUAACCGGAAAAGGUCUUCGAAAACUGGUGGACUUGAGGACUUGAGGGGGAGACGGAAUUCCGGGUGGAGCGGUGAAAUGCGUAGAGAUCCGGAGGAACACCGAAAGCGAANGCAGUCUCCUGGCAAGUUACUGACGCUCAGUGCGAAAGCUAGGGGAGCGAACAGAUUAGAUACCUGGUAGUCCUAGCCGUAACGAUGACCACUNNCGUGGGAGGUANCGACCCCUUCCGUG
rnacentral:rRNA from 1 species